rnacentral:lncRNA from 1 species
CAGAGGUGUGUGGGUGUGUGUGGGUGUGUUUAACACCUGUCUGUGUCUGUGUGAGCUGUGUGGCCGUGCUGCAGCUCCCUGCAGAGCUGCCCCAGCCUGAGGGAGGAUCCCUGGAUCCCAGAGCCGGCUGUUCCCUGCUCACCGCGGGCUCAGGGGGGAGGUUCCACGGGGAGGUGAUGCUGGCUCGGGGAGCCUCAGCACGGAGAUGGGCUGUUCCUUGGGGCUGUUCCUUUGGGGCUGUUCCUUUGGGGCUGUUCCUUGGG